rnacentral:lncRNA from 1 species
GGGGGGGCCGUGCCCAGCGGGGAUUGCCAGCCCGGGCGGGGAGAGCACCCAGGGUGACAGCAGGCGCCGGGCUUUGGGCAGUCUGAUGAUAACGUGGUGGCUCUCAGGGUACGCUGCACACCUGGCACAUCUUGGUACAGCGGCUGCAACGAGUUACAGGUGAAGAAAUCCAAGCAGAUAUCAAUAUGUGGACCACCAAACAGUCAAAUUGUCAAGUCUGAAACAGAUGGGAUGGACAAAAGCCCAUGUCAGACUGCCAGCACGUGAGCAGGUUGCAAGGCAUUGAGCAACGGUGCCAUCUAACGCCGCUUUAGCAGCAACAGGUGCACUUGCUGCCGUGGGGAAGACGAUGAGACCCACCCCAGGUGGUCCCUGG